GGCUGCGAUGGUGGUGUAAUGGUCAGC
rnacentral:piRNA from 1 species